AUUGUUUUGUAAUACAUAUGAGUAAUUAUAAGGUGUUCACAUGCAUGGGUGAGAUAGGCCUUCUUCAAAGCUUGUUACAAUGUCAGCAUAUUACCUGUCAAACA
ensembl:snoRNA